UACAGAGGGGGCAAGCGUUAUUCGGAAUUACUGGGCGUAAAGGGCUCGUAGGCGGCCAACUAAGUCAGACGUGAAAUCCCUCGGCUUAACCGGGGAACUGCGUCUGAUACUGGUUGGCUUGAAUCCGGGAGAGGGAUGUGGAAUUCCAGGUGUAGCGGUGAAAUGCGCAGAUAUCUGGAGGAACACCGGUGGCGAAGGCGGCAUCCUGGACCGGUAUUGACGCUGAGGAGCGAAAGCCAGGGGAGCAAACGGG
rnacentral:rRNA from 1 species